rnacentral:rRNA from 1 species
UACAGAGGUCCCGAGCGUUGUUCGGAUUCACUGGGCGUAAAGGGCGCGUAGGUGGCUCGUUAAGUGGUCGGUGAAAUCCCGGGGCUCAACUCGGAAAUGGCAUUGGAAACUACCUUGCUAGAGGGUUUGAGGGGGGACUGGAAUACUUGGUGUAGCAGUGAAAUGCGUAGAUAUCAAGUGGAACACCAGUGGCGAAGGCGAGUCCCUGGAAAACUCCUGACACUGAGGCACGAAAGCUAGGGGAGCAAACAGG